CAGCUACUGAGAAGAAUAUUAACUCUCCUGGUUGAAACCAGAGCAGACAGGCAGAAAACUCAUUUGUUUAUGAGUUUUUGAAUCCCAGCAGGUCUUGUGGAUGAACAGAGACCCUCUAUAGUCAGUACUCCACAGGCAGAGGCAGCUCUAGCAAUGCAGCUGCAAGUUUUUAGGCACUGAGGAUGUUUUACCAGUUCUCUACUUACUCCUCUACCUCUGCUCCUGUCACUGCACAAGGAGUCUUGAAAACUCAGAGUCCUUGCUCAGCUCCCAUAGAGAAGAUAAUUGAAACAAAAGACAAGAGGGCUCAAACCACUGUGGCUGCUGACAUUAUGGAGCUAUUAUGCGACUCUGUGGAGUCACAGAAAAGAAGCAUGGUGAAUCACAAGGAAUUACUCCUUUUCAAAUGUGAUCUGGUAUGAGAACCAUCCUACCAGAACCCCUCACUGCAGUUUGCAUGGAAAAUGUUGGUAACAACAUCCCUGUCAGCAUUCCUGGUCCAAGAAGGAGAAAUGACACGUCCCAAUCAGACAUCCUUUGGGGACAAGACCUCUUUUAUCAGCACACUUAUUAGAGUGGGCUGCUGCUCUUAGAGGCCACCUGAUGAAUACAAAUCUCCUUGCAAAGUGAAAACAUUCCUGCUGAAAGCGUCUGCAGUGCCUGGUGGGUUUGAACACAGGUUUGCCCUCCUGCAGCAAGUGGAACUUUAGUCUGCAUUUACACCUCUGGCGGUUUCUGUUGGUUGAUUACCAAAACCCCACAUCAGCAUCCUGGGGUCCCUGGCUUGUACCUUGCUGGGUGCCCAUUAGGGAGAGAGACUGGAGGCUCUGGGAGUCUCUGGGGUCUCAGAAAUGAAUUGCAAUGAGCAGCUGCCCAGUCCUGGCUGAGCACUGGCAGCUGAGAGAGUCUCCCAUCCAGCAUGCUGGGUGUUUCCAAUCUGUGUGUAGAACUUUCUGUGUGAACAUCUGCUCCAGCCAGUGCACAGGACUGAAACCUUGGCAGAAAAGAUUGAGGGCAAUGGGAAGUGUCUGAAAAUAGAGGAGUAGAAAGAGGGACAGCAGAAAGAAGACCAAGGGAAAAGAGAGAAAAAUGAAUGGGGAGAAGGAAAGGCAUAAAAAAAAGCAAAUGAGAUGUUCUAAAGCUUUCACAGAGAAAUGUCACAGAUUUUUCCUGCAGGAUGUGUACAGGUGUUGUAGCUGGUGAAGAAUGACCCCAUGUUUGAAGCUUCAGAAGUUUCAAUUGGUUUCUGGACACACAAUAGUUGGAAGCAGCCUAAGACUAUUGAAUAUCCGUGUUCUUUUCAUAUAUAACAAGAAAAGUUUGAGCCUGUUGAUAAAGACCACAGAUUUUUUCUUCAG